rnacentral:lncRNA from 1 species
GGAAAGGUGGUGAUAUCAGGAGCAGGUAGAGAGGAAAGGUGGUGAUAUCAGGAGCAGGUAGAGAGGAAAGGUGGUGAUAUCAGGAGCAGGUAGAGAGGAAAGGUGUUAAUAUCAGGAGCAGGUAGAGAGGAAAGGUGGUGAUAUCAGGAGCAGGUAGAGAGGAAAGGUGUUAAUAUCAGGAGCAGGUAGAGAGGAAAGGUGGUGAUAUCAGGAGCAGGUAGAGAGGAAAGGUGGUGAUAUCAGGAGCAGGUAGAGAGGAAAGGUGGUGAUAUCAGGAGCAGGUAGAGAGGAAAGGUGGUGAUAUCAGGAGCAGGUACAGAGGAAAGGUGUUAAUAUCAGGAGCCGGUAGAGAGGAAAGGUGGUGAUAUCAGGAGCAGGUAGAGAGGAAAGGUGUUAAUAUCAGGAGCAGGUAGAGAGGAAAGGUGGCGAUAUCAGGAGCAGGUAGAGAGGAAAGGUGUUAAUAUCAGGAGCAGGUAGAGAGGAAAGGUGGUGAUAUCAAGAGCAGGUAGAGAGGAAAGGUGGUGAUAUCAGGAGCAGGUAGAGAGGAAAGGUGGUGAUAUCAGGAGCAGGUACAGAGGAAAGGUGGUGAUAUCAGGAGCAGGUAGAGAGGAAAGGUGGUGAUAUCAGGAGCAGGAAGAGAGGAAAGGUGGUAAUAUCAGGAGCAGGUAGAGAGGAAAGGUGGUGAUAUCAGGAGCAGGUAGAGAGGAAAGGUGGUGAUAUCAGGAGCAGGUAGAGAGGAACGGUGGUGAUAUCAGGAGCAGGUAGAGAGGAAAGGUGGUGAUAUCAGGAGCAGGUAGAGAGGAAAGGUGGUGAUAUCAGGAGCAGGUAGAGA